GCUAAAUAAAAUGCAAAUAAUUAAUAUUUCCAACAACAUUAAAAACCACUAUAAAUUAACUUUGUUGGGGCAACAUAGUAGCACCUUGUUAAGGAGAGAAUAUAGUAUGGCACAAUCUAGUGGCAAAAAAUUGGUUGAGUGGCUGGUUGCAGCAUUAUUGUUCAUUGCCUUGUUGAGUGGUAGUGCACAUGCUGUUGCAAUAUGUAACAUUGACUCAAGUCAACUGAACUUGUGUCGUGCUGCAGUUACUGGUCAAAACCCUCCACCACCUGAUGAGAAAUGCUGUGCAGUUAUUCGCCAGGCCAAUUUGCGUUGCCUCUGCAGUUACAAGUCUAUCCUACCUUCAUUUGGAAUUAACCCCAAAAAUGCUUUGGCCUUGCCUGCUAAAUGUGGUCUACAAUUGCCUCCUAAUUGUUGAGUGCUGUGAAGCAGUUAACGAAGGUCAAGUUCAUUACAAGCACCUUAAUUAGUAGUCUUCAAUUGCUUUCAGGUGUUUUACUAACACUGAAGAUAAAUUUUAAGACAGGAUUUGAUGCCCCUCAAAUAACGGUGCAGUUGGUUUUAAUCAGUGUCUUGUGUCCAAAAGUUUGUGAGUAGAUGUGUAGAGUAUUAGUGUUUGAUGUACAGGAAUACUUUGUAUCUGUACUUUUUUUCCCUCCAUGUCUAUGUCUACAUUAUAAUAUGUUUAAUAAAGUUUCUGGUUUUGGGGCUCUGAA